UUGAUUUUCUCUUCAGACCAAAUCUCCUAAAUUUUUCCUUCACCUCUGUUAAUUUCUCCCAUUUCAUAAAAUAAAUCUCAUGAUCGAUACUUGUGGGUUGAGGAAAUUAGGGCUUGGUGGAGAUAAUUUCGCAGAGAGUAGAGAAAGGCGUCCAUGAGUUGGAAUCAAUCACAUGGCUAACAUCUGCUACGUUCACCCCAAAAGACUCAGCUAGAGUUUCCAACGUCACCGUGUAAACCACUCUCACAAGGCUUCUCCCUCCCCUAUUUGAUUAUAUCCGUAAACUAUACAUUGGUCUUUCAUAGUAAAUGUGUGCAAUUUCUUCCUUACUAAUCUUCAUCAUGUAUAGCCACUUAUUAUCUCAUUUUAUUUUAGGGAAUUAUGUGAGUAAAGCAGUAUUUUGGAUUGCAUGCAGUAAACAGUCUAAAUAAGGAAUGGGUCUGGCGACCUUGCUUUUGCUGACAUGCGAAUGACAAUUUGAAUUCCAGUAAAGGCAAAGGUGUGGCAAUCUGUAAAGGGGGGAAGGAGAGGGUGAGGUGGACACUCAAGAGCACCAUCGUCUACACAUAGCAGCCCAGAUGCACAUGGAUUGCCUCCGAGAAGGAAUUUACCAGAUGAGGAGGACUCAUUUUCAAAUGAAUCGACUCAAGCAGUAACAAGUGUGGGAGUACAAGAGUCCAUGGAUGUAGAACAGAGUGAAGAGGUAUGCCAACCAUUUGUAUAAAUGUUAUAUACAUCAUUUGUUCAAAAUUUGUGUAGAAGUAAACUUGGAACAUUUAUUCUUGUUAUUGCACUAUCUUUUCUUUCAAAUUGCCUCCUUAUUUUUCUAGAUAUAGUUCCACCCAUUAAGAAACGAGGCUGAGGGCUUGCUUGGGCACACAAUUUGAACGCCUCUAGAAGGUGGAUAAGAUUCCUUUAGUUAUAAAGAUGGUCAUAGAGGUCCAUCAUGCGAGAACACCUCCAUCUUUACUAGUCGAGUGACGUGGAUCGUUAAAGUAUAUGCCGAAAUGAGGCAUGCAAGCUGGAGUUCCGUACCUGAGGUGGAGAAGCAAGAACUCAUUGAUCAUGUUAGAGCGGACUUUGUGUUGGAUUGGACAAAAGAGAACCAUCGUGAAAUGGUGAUAACGUAUUUAUCUGAUAAGUACAAUGCAUAUCACUAUGAACUACACAAAAUCUACUUAAAAUAUGCAAUGCAUAAAUAGGCCCUAUGUGUUGGGACGUCCAUGGUGGACAAACUUGUUUGGCAGUAGCUAUGUAAAAGGUGGGCCAGCA